GUGCCAGCAGCCGCGGUAAUACGAAGGGGGCUAGCGUUGCUCGGAAUCACUCCCCGUAAAGGGCGCGUAGGCGGCCUUGUAAGUUGGGGGUGAAAGCCCGUGGCUCAACCACGGAAUUGCCUUCGAUACUGCUUGGCUUGAGUGUGGUAGAGGUUGGUGGAACUGCGAGUGUAGAGGUGAAAUUCGUAGAUAUUCGCAAGAACACCGGUGGCGAAGGCGGCCAACUGGACCAUCACUGACGCUGAGGCGCGAAAGCGUGGGGAGCAAACAGGAUUAGAUACCCUGGUAGUCC
rnacentral:rRNA from 1 species